rnacentral:ncRNA from 1 species
AAUUGAAACUUAGGAAAAAAAGAGAGAAAUGACUUUACGGGCAAGCAUUCAUAGUGACGUUGCUUUUUGAUCCUUCGAUGUCGGCACUUCCUAUCAUUGUGAACCAAAAUUCACCAAGUGUUGGAUUGUUCAUCCCCCAAUAGGGAACGUGAGCUAGGUUUAGACCGUUGUGUGAAAGGUUAGUUUUACCCUACUGAUGAUCGUGUUGUGAUAGUAAUUCAACCUAGUAUGAGAGGAACCGUUGAUUCACACAAUUGGUUAUCGCGUUUGUUUGAAAAGUCAAUGGUGUGAAGCUACUGUGUGUUGGAUUAUAACUGAACGGCUCUAACUCAGAAUCCAAGCUAGUAAUGCAGCAAAAUUUUCAUUUUUUCAAGUGUCGUCCUAAAGUACGUAUGCUUCGUGCUUCCUUGGGCUCAUGUUGUUGGUGAAUUUACAAUAGUUAAUUAAUUUUGAUGGUAUCAGAGCGUCCUCUUCUACCAGCAUUAUAGAUUAUGUGUAAAAUAAUAGAAUAAAUAUUAAUGGUUGUCCUCCACUCAUUCU